UACGGAGGGUGCAAGCGUUAUCCGGAUUCACUGGGUUUAAAGGGGGCGUAGGUGGCUUUGUAAGUCAGUGGUGAAAUCUUAGAGCUUAACUCUAAAACUGCCAUUGAUACUGCUUAGCUUGAAUCACGUCGAGGUGGAUGGAAUAUUACAUGUAGCGGUGAAAUGCUUAGAUAUGUAAUAGAACACCGAUUGCGAAGGCAGUUCACUAGGCGUGUAUUGACACUGAGGCUCGAAAGCGUGGGGAUCAAACAGG
rnacentral:rRNA from 1 species